CCAGAGCAGAGCUGGGGAAGGAUAGGAGAUCAGGGUCUGUGGUAGGGGCAGGUCCCCCUCCCAGGAGCCAGCGUCAGGCCUUGAGAGGUUUGGUGAACAACAGAGCAGAGCUAGGGAGAACAAGCGAGGAAAGGACCAACAAGGUGGAAGGGGUGGAGGGAAGGCACAGGCCAUACUGGACCGGCCUCAGGCUGGGGCCACUGCACACCCCUUCUUACCCUCUCCCACUUUUGUUCCUCUCCCACCCCUAACAUCCCCCUAGUAAAGAUGCAAAAAAGGAAGUAGAGGAUACUGGCAUGUACAAUGGAAAAGCAGAAGAAAGCCAAGGAGGUGGAGGCACUUACGGUGCAGCUGAUGUCCCGGUCGGAGAGAAGAUAAGAGGUGGAUCUGGAAGGGCACGAGAAUAAUAGGUGACACAGGCAAAAAAAACAGGCCCUCCAGGCGCAGACUCUCUCACCCAACACCAGACACCCAACCCCAUCCGGGUGGGAAAAGCGUAGGCAGGACCAGAUGCAGGACUAAGAGAAUGCACCUGGAUCACACAGGAGCGAGGAUUUUCCCCCAGGUGCCCAAUACCUCACCUCAAGAUGCUGCAGCAGCCCCUGACUCCAGGCUCCCCUGUGGCUGCCACUCUAAUCGCCAUUCAUACAGAAACAGCCCCUUGAGCCACAGAACACUUCUGCUCAGGAACGUGCAACAGCACCUGGCUCCUACUACACUAAGCUCAAACCCAGCCGUGUGGACCUCUGCGAUCCAAACCCUCCCUACCUGGCCAGCCAUCUUUCCAUGUCAGCCCUCAUGAACUCUUUCAGGUCAGUGUGGGCAGCUGACUGUCCCCCAUCUCCAUGCCUUUGCUCCCUGCACCCCCGGUCUGGAAUGUCCCUCCCAAGGGCCUGGCCACACCACAUACCUCCUGCAAAAGCACCUCUGCUACUACAGUUCCACUACUUCUUCCCCUCUCUGGGCCGGUACCGCAUGAGCAGUCAGUAAGAAGAGGUCAUGAUGCUAGCUGACACAACAGAGCACUGACUGCAUGCGGGACACUGAGUGCUAAGCACUUUACCUGCACGACCUCAUUUAAUCCUGACCAAAAGCUUGGCGGUGGGAAUUGUCUCCAUUUUAUGGAUGAAGAAAUGAAGGCUCAGAGGCAGACAGAUUGUGAGGUGAUUGCCCAAGGACAGCAGGAGAGGCAACAUUCCCAUUAGGCUUCCUUAUGCCACAGACGACACUUUAACCAUUACCCGGCACUGCCUUUCUUACAGUACCACGGACAGCAACACUUCCCUGUUUCCCCAAUUAGUCCCACUUCCCCACAAAGAUAAUAGGCUCUAUGAAGGCACAGUCCAGGCCUUCUACUUCUCAGUUUCCCUUCUAAAGGAAGGAUCUUGGCCAGGAAUUCCAUGUGCCUGUGACUGGGCUCAGCUGGACCUAAGUAAAUUCUUGUAACAGACCUGAGAGGUAGACAUGAGUCUCUUUAUAAAGAUGAAGAAACUGGGACUCAAGGAGUUAGCCGGUUCACAGCCUAACACAAGCACCCAUGUCCUUUCCACUAUAACACACUACUAGGCACUAAGAUCGCUUUGUCUGCUUACUGA